rnacentral:tRNA from 1 species
UUCCUGGUGGUCCAGUGGCUAGGACUCCAAUCUCCCAAUGCAGGGGGCCUGGGUUCGAUCCCUGGUCAGGAAA